UCAGACUGACGUCAUUUGUCUCUUGGCAUUCAUUGGUUUCUAUCCUUCUCCUGCUGUGGCCAUAUUUGUUGAUGUGUCAUAGCAUUGAACAGUUGGGCGAUCAGCUGGUUAAAUAGGGAGCUGUGGCCGUCAUUGCACGGACAUACACGAUGUCUCGUUGGCACCUGGUUUGAGCCGUAAGCGGAGCAUGAAACAUCCGGCUCCGACUACAGCUGCGCAGAACAUGGAAGGAUCAGAUGAUAAAUUGGCAACAGAGGAAUUACGCUCUGGAGACGAGUGUCAUCGUAGUACAUCAAGUGUCGAAGAGGAGGAAUUAAUCUUUGAGAACAGUGAUCAUGCCGUGAAGAAUUGCAAUCAGGAGAAAGGCGAGAACCAGCUGGAAAGUGGAUUAAUCAAGACUGAAGAAGGAGCUCAGAUAAGCAGCCAGCAUCAUCAUGAUGUGGGGGAGACGGCUGCUGAUGUUGAAGGUGAUGCUGGGAAAGUUUCCAGUGAAACUGAGGGACUUCCACUUAGUCUUUCAAAUGAGGCUGCUGCUGCCAGUCAGGAUGUAGCAGACAGUCCUCCUGUUAUCGAGGGGACAAUGGAGACCUUAUUGACUUUUGAUGCAACAGCUCAGCACGACAAUGAGCCAUCGUUGCAGACACCCGCUGUCGACAACAGUCCUUCAGCCUCUUCUGUCCAAAGCACUUCCAAAAACUCCCCUACGGACUCCUCCACUUCUGGGAUUUCUAACGGACCGUCCACUCCGAGCUCCGAUACGCUCAGCUUCUCGCCGGCCUCAAGCCCGCAGACCACCGCCAACGUCUCCAUCCCCUUACAAUCCUCGUCGAGCCCGUUCGACACCGACUGCAGCCGAAAGCUCAUUUCCCAGAUCCAGCGCUCGUUGUCGCAAGAGUCGCUGCUGGAUGAGCUGGAGUCUGAGCUUUUAGCUUGUGGGUUGUCUGAAACCGAACGCAGAGGGAAAGUGAAAGGGAGCUCACCCAUCAAUGGACUCCCAGCGGACCAGGACGGCUGCAUGGAUGUCUUUGAGAAGUGUGUACAGUACAAGUACACUCAACAGGAGAAGGCUAUUCAGAGGUUGCAUGAGGAGAACAAGAGACAUCAAGAACUGAUCCUGGGUAUCUGUUCAGAAAAAGACAACAUGAAGGAAGAGUUGAAGAAGAGAGCGGAAACAGAGAAGCAGCACAUGAGCUCCAUUAAUAAGCUGGAGGGGCGGGUGGAGGAGCUCCUGAAAGAGCUGAAGGAGUCGCGGGAGAAACUGAUCCACCAGGAGCAAUCGGCCAAAGCUGCUCUGCAGCAGCUGCACAGGGACACCACUCACAGGAUAGAACAGGUGAACAAGAAGUGUGACGAGGCACGGCAGGAGAAGGAGGCCAUGGUGAUGAAAUAUGUGCGGGGGGAGAAGGAGGCUCUGGACCUGAGGCGGGACAAGGAGAGCCUAGAGAAGAGGCUGAGGGAGGCGCUGAAGGAGGUGGACCGCCAAGCGCUGCGCGGGAACCAGCUGGCUCAGGAGAAGGGGCGGCUGCAGCAGCUGUACGACGCCAAGGAGGGUGAAGUUGGCCGGCUGACGCGAGAAGGGGAAAAGUUGAAAGAGGAGAUCAACUCUCAUCUAAUCAAAGUCAAAUGGGCCCAGAACAAAUUAAAGAGUGAAGCAGAUGCUCAUAAGGAAACAAAAGACAAGCUGAGAGAAACGACAUCCAAGUUGGCUCAGGCCAAAGAGGAGACGGAACAGAUCCGAAAGAAUUGCCAGGACAUGAUCCGGACGUACCAGGAAUCAGAAGAGCUCAGAUCCAACGAGCUGGACGCCAAACUGAAGGAAACUAAAGGAGAGCUGGAGAAACACAAGCAGGAGCAAACGGGCCAGUUGGAGAUGCACCGAGCAAAGGCUAAAGAGCUGGAGGAGCUGAAGAAGAGUUACAAAGAAAGCAUAGAUGAGCUGGAAACUCUCCGCACUAAGUUGAAGUGUCUGGAGGACGAGCGGCCGCGGUGGGAGGACGAGCUGAGCAAAUACAGGGAGAUCAUAAACCGGCAGAAGGCUGAGAUCGGCCGGCAGAGGGAGAAACUGGAGGAGGUCACUGCGCUUCAGGAGCAGCACGAACGGGACAAACAGGAGAUCACCUCUCUCCAGGAGGAAGUGGAGAGCCUGACCAGUCAGAUGGCCGACCUCCAGCGCGACGUCCAAGGCAGCAGGGAGCGAGAAGCCGAGCUGCUGGGCUUCACCGAGAAGCUGAGCAGCAAGAACGCCCAGCUGCAGUCGGAGAGCAACGCGCUGCAGUCUCAGCUGGAUCAGGUCAGCAGCAGCUUCACCGAGCUGCAAGCGAAGCUGGAGGAGACCAGCAGGCUCCUGGAGGACAAGUCGCGACAGCUGAAGCAGGAAGAAGUGCUGAGGAGCCAGGAGGUGCAGGGCCUGCAGGAGGAACGGGCAGCGCUGCAGACAGAGGUGGCCCAGCUGAAGACCAGAGUGGAGGAGCUGAGGGACGAGCUGGUGACCCAGAAACGGAAACAAGCUGCCAACAUCAAGGACCUCACCAAACAACUAACACAAGCCCGGAAAAGGCUGGAGCAGGUUGAUAACGGCGGCUGCGACCGGGACGCCGGCAGUAUGGGCAGCCGCUCCAGUUCCUCAGGUACUGCUCUGAGAUUUGGUUCCUUAAACGCACGCCAAGGCGGGAGCAGCAGCGUUGAGGAGCGGUCGCCCGAGAGCCAGUCCGGUCCCUCCGUUAUGGUGGUGGACAGCUUCCCAGAGGUGGACAAGGCCGUCCUCGUGGACCGGAUCGUCCGUCUGCAAAAGGCGUUGGCGAGAAAGCAGGAAAAGAUCGAGUUCAUGGAGGAUCACAUUAAACAGCUGGUGGAAGAGAUCCGGAAAAAGACUAAGAUAGCCUGGUGAGCAUUGACAAGUCUGAAUGUAAAGCCUGAGGAAGAUGAUGAGUAAAGAAGCAAGAACCGUAGAAGGAUCAAGAGCAGUUAGGUUCAGGAAGCUCAUUAUUAGUUUUCAGCAUCUCCUGCACAGCUUUGUGUUCUGACAUUGCGAUAUUUUUUGCAGCUUGUGUACUAAAUAUAAAUUUGCAAAAUGGGGUGUUAGCUGUCUUUACAAAACAUGAAGUUCAGUUAGAACACUAUCUAUUUAAGAAUUGGGGGGAAAAGUAAAGAAGCAAGCACUUCUACUCUGAUUUGUAGCUGUUACUUAUGGAACAAGAUUAGGACCACUGCAAACAAAAAAGUUUUUUUCCUCUAAAUUCUGACUUUUUUUUCUGACUUUAAGUCAGAAUUUUGUAAUUUUUUAAAUUUAUAAUUACCAUAUAACCUGCCUAACAAAAACCGCUUUGAACAGUUUCUAUCUGGGUAGAUAAUCCGGGGAAAACAUUUGCAGAUUCUUGCAAAUUUAACAUAAAUCACAAAAAUGUAAGUGCAUUUUAUUUGAAUAUCAUGCAAUUGACCAACAUGGAGCAGCAAUCUUGUAAAGUGGAACAGUGGAAGGUUGGGUUAAUAACCAAGUUCUGGAUUUUAAAAUCUCAAUGAAUCCUGUUGAAUAUAUCAUCUGAAAAUGAAGAGAGCACGACAGAACUGUUAACGUACCACACCUACAACAUGGCCGCCCAGCGGAGCUGACAGGACGGACCAGGAGAGCAAUAAUCUGAAGGAAAAUGUUACUUUUCACCUACAUGCUAAAUACUUGUCGACAUGUAGUCUGGUCUUUUUGACAAUAAAAAUCUCCACCACUCUGUUAAAAAAAAAAAAGGGGUUCGGUUUCAGAAACCUUUUCAUCCACAUGAACUCGCACAGAUCCGCCAUGAAAAAGCACAUCCUCAAACCCCCUUUAGUCUGUUCAGGUGACUGGAAUCGAUCGGAUAAAGGCAGAUGCCUCCUGUUCAGGGUUCCUGUUUAUCCUCUCGUCACUGUUAAUUAUUUGGAAGCAGAUGUUAAAGCUCAAUGUGUUGCGUUUCCUUUUUCCUGCCAUCAAACUAAAAAUCUGACAGCUGCAAAAUUAGUUGUUUGUAACCUCAAAUGUGUCAAAAUUCACAAACGUUACUUACCUUUAACAACCUAUAACUAUUUGAUUCCUUCUGCAGUUUUUUUUUUUUUUUGCCCCAUCUCUCCGUCUUUGCAUCUUCUGGGCUAAAUCUGCACCGUCUCGAUGUGCCUCCCUGUGUUGCUGCUUUCUAACAGAACAAAGGAAGCUGCAUGUUUGAGAAAUUGCCAUCUUGCACGUUUCUGAGCCGACUCUCACAUCUGUCAUCCUCCCGCUGAUCUCUGCAUGCCGCUUCUCUAAUCAUGUAGCCAUAUGUUUAAUUUAUGUCACUUUUUUUUUUGUUUUAUUAAAAACUAUCGUGAUGGAUUUGGGGUCCAAAUAUAUGGACCUCUGAAAGCCUAGUCAGAGGAUCAUCCAGAGCUACGUGCUGAGAGAGGAGUCAGGGGCCCUCUCAUCGGAGGCCUCGGAUAUUAACAAGGCCCACCUCAGCCGGCGG